rnacentral:lncRNA from 13 species
AAUUUUCCAGGAUAGAGCAGCUAAAACAUGUCGACGCUUGGAUUCAAAGCCAAGAUCAGCUAACCAGAGCUCAAGGAACAUGGGUUCUAAAGUCUAAAGAUUGGAACGGAACAACCCUAAACUUUGGAAAUUGAGAUUUAAACAACGGCAAAGAGAAAAAAUAAGAACACAUCAAUCAAUAUUUAUCUUGGAUAGAAGAAUGUGACCAAAAUGGAACCUGAGCCAGCAAAGAUCAGCCAGGGACAGGAAGGAGAAUCAAAGAAUGUCACGGUAUCACUAUGGCAACUAAGGAAGAGAGUUCAGGACACGAUCAGACAGAGAAAAGAUUACCCUUCCCAAUGUGUGUGGGCAUCAUCCAGUCCACUGAAAGCCAGACCAGAAUUUCCAUUAUCAGCUCUCCUGGGUUGCCAUCUGAUAAUCUUUGGAUUUCUCCAUAUCAUGUGAGCCAAUUUCUUAUAAUAAACUUCUUCAUUCAUUACACAUGUGCACAUAUAUCCUAUUGGUUUUGUUUUUCUGGAGAAACAAAACAAAUUCAGUAACACAG